rnacentral:rRNA from 1 species
CCUACGGGUGGCAGCAGUCGAGAAUCAUUCACAAUGGGGGAAACCCUGAUGGUGCGACGCCGCGUGGGGGAAUGAAGGUCUUCGGAUUGUAAACCCCUGUCAUGUGGGAGCAAAUUAAAAAGAUAGUACCACAAUAGGAAGAGCCGGCUAACUCUGUGCCAGCAGCCGCGGUAAUACAGAGGUCUCAAGCGUUGUUCGGAAUCACUGGGCGUAAAGCGUGCGUAGGCUGUUGCGUAAGUCCUGUGUGAAAGGGGCGGGCUCAACCCGCGGACGGCACAUGAUACUGCGAGACUAGAGUAAGGGAGGGGGAACCGGAAUUCGCGGUGUAGCAGUGAAAUGCGUAGAUAUCGAGAGGAACACUCGUGGCGAAGGCGGGUUCCUGGACAGUAACUGACGCUGAGGCACGAAGGCCAGGGGAGCGAAAGGGAUUAGAUACCCGGGUAGUC